GAGAGAGAGAGAGAGAGAGAGAGAGAGAGAGAGAUUCUUGUCUUAUUAAAUUGUUUAUACUGGUUUUGGUUUAAUUUUUAAAUAAAUGUUAUUUGUUUUGUGACAAAAUAUGCUGUUGUUUCUAUGGCAUUGUAAUUUAAAUGUCGGAAGCUGCCUUGAAUUGUAUUUUUGCAAUGGAAGGGCAGGGAUCUCUCUCUCUCUCUCUCUCUCUCUCUCUCUCUC